UACAGAGACCUCAAGCGUUAUCCGGAAUCAUUGGGCGUAAAGCGUACCGAUAGGUGGUUAUGCAAGUCAGAUGUGAAAUCUCCGGGCUUAACUCGGAACGGUCAAGUGAUACUGUCGUGCUAGAGUACAGAAGGGGCAACUGGAAUUCUCGGUGUAGCGGUGAAAUGCGUAGAUAUCGAGAGGAACACCUGCGGCGAAGGCGGGUUGCUGGGCUGAUACUGACGCUGAGGCGCGAAAGCCAGGGGAGCGAACGGG
rnacentral:rRNA from 1 species